rnacentral:rRNA from 1 species
UGAGGAGCGAAAGCGUGGGGAGCGAACAGGAUUAGAUACCCUGGUAGUCCACGCCGUAAACGGUGGGCGCUAGAUGUGGGGACCCUUCCAUGGUUUCUGCGUCGCAGCUAACGCAUUAAGCGCCCCGCCUGGGGAGUACGGUCGCAAGACUAAAACUCAAAGGAAUUGACGGGGGCCCGCACAAGCAGCGGAGCAUGCGGCUUAAUUCGAUGCAACGCGAAGAACCUUACCUAGACUUGACAUAUACGGAAAACAUGCAGAGAUGUAUGGUCCUAACGGGCCGUUUACAGGUGGUGCAUGGUUGUCGUCAGCUCGUGUCGUGAGAUGUUGGGUUAAGUCCCGCAACGAGCGCAACCCUCGUUCUAUGUUGCCAGCACGUAAUGGUGGGGACUCAUAGGAGACUGCCGGGGUCAACUCGGAGGAAGGUGGGGAUGACGUCAAAUCAUCAUGCCCCUUAUGUCUAGGGCUGCACGCAUGCUACAAUGGCUGGUACAAAGGGCUGCGAUACCGCAAGGUGGAGCGAAUCCCAAAAAGCCAGUCUCAGUUCGGAUUGGGGUCUGCAACUCGACCCCAUGAAGUUGGAGUUGCUAGUAAUCGCAGAUCAGCAACGCUGCGGUGAAUACGUUCCCGGGCCUUGUACACACCGCCCGUCACGUCACGAAAGUCGGUAACACCCGAAGC